AACGAACGCUGGCGGCAUGCCUAACACAUGCAAGUCGAACGAAGGCUUCGGCCUUAGUGGCGCACGGGUGCGUAACGCGUGGGAAUCUGCCCUUGGGUUCGGAAUAACUCAGAGAAAUUUGAGCUAAUACCGGAUGAUGACGUAAGUCCAAAGAUUUAUCGCCCAAGGAUGAGCCCGCGUAAGAUUAGCUAGUUGGUGGGGUAAAGGCCUACCAAGGCGACGAUCUUUAGCUGGUCUGAGAGGAUGAUCAGCCACACUGGGACUGAGACACGGCCCAGACUCCUACGGGAGGCAGCAGUGGGGAAUAUUGGACAAUGGGCGAAAGCCUGAUCCAGCCAUUCCGCGUGCAGGAUGAAGGCCCUCGGGUUGUAAACUGCUUUUGUACGGAACGAAACGGCCUUUUCUAAUACAGAGGGCUAAUGACGGUACCGUAAGAAUAAGCACCGGCUAACUACGUGCCAGCAGCCGCGGUUAAUGUGUGACUGU
rnacentral:rRNA from 1 species